rnacentral:tRNA from 1 species
GGCCUUGUAGCUUAAUUAGAGCGGCGGUUUUGUAAUCCGCAGGUACUGGGUAGUUAAGGUCU